UUCGCCUCUUCAUAGACAUAGCCUGAGCUCCGUAGGCACAGGGAUGUUUUGUAUUUUGCUUUUAAUCAUUGAUUGAUAUAGGCUAAUAAUUGGUCUUGAGCGUAACACUUUCAUUCUAAAGCAAACUGUAUGGCCUAAAUAAUAUCACCGUCUGCAGUUUAUUGUAUUGUUUUAUUGUGGAUUAUACUUGACCACUCCAUUGCACUGCUGCACCAUACAGUGGUGACCUCCAGUUGACAGAUCUGCUCCUGGCUUUCCUGAGUAUCAGACUGCUGAGACAUGAAGAAGACCUGCUGACUCAGGAUCCACCUCAUCACAGAGGUUCCCCUUUGGCCUUCAGCUCAUCAAUUCAAUUAAUAUGUUAAUUUCAAUAAAGCCCAAAUUGAAAAUUAUCCUUUAAAAGUAAGGCACUUUCCAUUGAAAGAAGGGAAACCCCACAUUUGUGUGGUUGAGCCAUGAAUCAUCAUACUGCAUGUGUGGCGAUUGCAUUUAGAGAGUGAUCAGAGACAGUACCAAAGACAGGAAACAUCACACACUCGACACUAGAUUUAAUGUGUGCUGAGUUGUGAUAUUUACAACACUGCCAUAAAGGCUCAGCUAUGUUCAGGAAGCAUGUGAAGUGUCUGCAAUGAAAAAACAUUGUCAAACAAGAUUUGGGAACAAUUACAUAGACAGGUAGUGUACUGUUUAUAUGAUCCCUCCAAAACAGAGCAGCUGCAGUAACCAGACCAGCAACAGGGCCAUGCCCCAUGUGACUACGUCUUUCAUCUGUUUGAGAGGCCAGUAGUUUGUUUAUCUUAGAUCAGUUCUCACAAUUUCUCAUGCCUACACUGUACAACAUUUCAACAAUUGUACUUACAUUGAGGCCAAAUGUUUUGAACUUCAGAUGAACAAUUUGUCAUUGCUUGUUGUUGGCUAGGGUAAUCAUUAGCUACCAUGCUAGCAGCUUUGGCUAUUACGUUUCAUUGCUAUUUUAGAAGUAACUACUGUAAGUUUCUCAUUGCUAGCAAUUUGAGCUAACAUUAAGGGUAGUUUGAGACAUCCAACUUUUUUGUUUGUGAUGUGAUAUACUAAAUAAAUUGGACAUGAAUGAGUAGAAUUUUGUAUCCGGGACAAAUAAUGAUUGUGACGGUAUCAGCUAUGCAUGCCACAGAACUUUCCGCAACACAGUUGUUGGCAAAAAUUAUGGUUUAACACGUCAUAAAUAUCACCUAUAACAGUUGAAGUAGCAGAAAUGUGGACAAAACUAGGAUGAAGCUGGAUAUCUAAAUAAUUUACUGUACCAGGCAUUGGAAAGGUAAUAAAUUGCAUGUAACUAAAGAUAUGUAAAUGUAAAGCUACAAAAUAACAAUCUUUUAAACUGUGUAGCCACCCUUGAAACUCCCACACAUCUUGUUCUAAAUGGUAGCUCUAUCAAUAUAAUCAUCUGAAUGAAUCUGUUACACCAUGACCCAUCAGGCUUGGAAUUAUCCAUUGAGGCUCUUCAGGCUAAACCAAAGUAGUGAAUGACCAGGAAGACACCUUAUUGUCUAUACAACUCAUCAUAUCAGUUUAUGUACUGGCUAAUCCUUCAGGUCAUAUGCUAUUCUUGUUGUAACAUUUGUUAAUGUUAGCACCGCUGAACAUAUGAGUAGCAGCAGAUUGCAUAGCUUUUGUCCAAGCCAUUUCCUUAUUUUGCAAGAAAUAAUCCUUCAUGCAAGUUAUGUCUGAGGAGGCUUAAAAAUAUAUAUUUUCACAAGAUCAGUAGACUGUUCAAGAGUGUUAACUAAUACCACAACUAGACUUUCCUUUAUGGAUGAAACAUUAGCAGAGCUCACUGCUGAGAAGGGUGUGGCUGUGGCUAUAUCCCUGGGAGAAGGGCAUAGCUCCUGACAGAAAGGUAAUGCUGUUGAUACCCUCGUGUCUAGGUCUCAGCACUACCAGACCAUGGACCUCUUGCUCCCCAUUCAUCCCUCUGUCAAUUUGCAGAUCAUGCAAAGUCAAACACAAACUGCUGUGAGAAAUGUCUAAAUAUUUUCCCCCAUGUUUAAUCCCUGGCUGAAAAUACAAGUCAGGGUGGUUCCUCUAAUGAAAUCUCACUUUACAUAAUGAACACAGUGGAAGUCAGCAUUCUCAUCAUCCUCAUCAAAACAGCCCAAUGACCUUAUUAUCAAUUUUGACUUUGUCAGCUUCCUUUUUUAAUGAACUUAGUGUCAAUGACUAAUGUAAACUAAGGUCAUGAAUAGGAAUACCAACAGUACACAAAUAGGAUUCAUUACAGGAUUUGGGUCACACUGCUCAUAGACUUAGGGCUCUAUUCAAUCCGCAUCGCGGAAGUUCAGCUUUACAGCGUGAAUGA